GGUGUCAGUUGUCAAAAAAAAAUUUGUCAGGUAUCAGAACACAAGGUACCAGAGAGAAAAUCUUCCUGCAGGUGGCGCUGUUGUCAUGUCCCACCCGAAUUGAUUUCCAAAUACGUCAUCAACGUGUGACCGUGGGAGAGCGUAAGGUCAUUGACCUCACCGGAGUUUUACCGUGGUUCAGGCUCCUAACGACACAAGCAAAUGGACAAGCUGAAAGCUUACGAGCAGCU